rnacentral:tRNA from 1 species
UGGGGAUAUAGCUCAAUUGGUAAAGUGCCUGCCUUGCAUGCACAAGGCCCUGAGGCCCUGAGUUCAAUCCCCAGCCCUAA